rnacentral:rRNA from 1 species
GCAGCCGCGGUAAUUCCAGCUCCAAUAGCGUAUAUUAAAGUUGUUGCAGUUAAAAAGCUCGUAGUUGAAUUUCGGAGUUCUACCGUUGGUCGGGCUACCAAGUCUGUACUGAUGUGUAGAAUUCCUACCUUCUGGGGAACCAUCAUGUUAUUAAUUUAGCGUGGUGGGAAACCAGGACCUUUACCUUGAAAAAAUUAGAGUGUUCAAAGCAGGCUUAUGUCUGAAUACAUUAGCAUGGAAUAAUAGAAUAGGACGGUGGUCCUGUUUUGUUGGUUUCUGAAUCACCGUAAUGAUUAAUAGGGAUAGUUGGGGGCAUUAGUAUUCAAUUGUCAGAGGUGAAAUUCUUGGAUUUAUUGAAGACUAACUUCUGCGAAAGCAUUUGCCAAGGAUGUUUUCAUUAAUCAAGAACGAAAGUUAGGGGAUCGAAGACGAUCAGAUACCGUCGUAGUCUUAACCAUAAACUAUGCCGACUAGGGAUCGGACGAUGUUUAAUUUUAUUGACUCGUUCGGCGCCUUACGGG